CAGAGCGUAGCUUAAAUAGAAAAGCAUCUCUUUUACACUGAGAAGACACCCGUGCAAAUCAGGCCGCCCUGA
rnacentral:tRNA from 1 species